CGCCUCCUGCAACACAAAGUAUAGGAGGUCCAGCCUGCCCAGUGACUACGGGUUCAACGGCCGCGGUAUAUUGACCGUGCAAAGGUAGCGCAAUCACUUGUCUUUUAAAUAAAGACCUGUAUGAAUGGCUAGACGAGGGCUUAACUGUCUCCCCCCUCCAGUCAGUGAAAUUGAUCUAUCCGUGCAGAAGCGGGUAUAAUCCUACAAGACGAGAAGACCCUUUGGAGCUUAAGGUACAAGAUUCAAUCACGUCAAGCAACUUACUGAAUGAGCCAGAACUUAGUGAUGAUGAAACUUUACCUUCGGUUGGGGCGACCACGGAGGAAAGACAAGCCUCCGAGUGGACUGGGACGAACCCCUAAAGCCAAGAUAAACAUCUUUAAGCCGCAGAACAUCUGACCAAUAAUGAUCCGGCCCACAAGCCGAUCAACGAACCAAGUUACCCUAGGGAUAACAGCGCAAUCCUCUCCCAGAGCCCAUAUCGACGAGGGGGUUUACGACCUCGAUGUUGGAUCAGGACAUCCUGAUGGUGCAGCCGCUAUUAAGGGUUCGUUUGUUCAACGAUUAAAGUCCU
rnacentral:rRNA from 1 species